AUUGAACGCUGGCGGCAGGCCUAACACAUGCAAGUCGAACGAGUGGCGGAAGGGUGAGUAAUGUGUGGGAAACUGCCUGAUGGAGGGGGAUAACUAAUGGAAAAGGUAGCUAAUACCGCAUACAAUCGGAGGUGCCCCGAUGGGAUUAGCUAGUAGGUGGGGUAAAGGCUCACCUAGGCGACGAUCCCUAGCGGGUCUGAGAGGAUGAGCAGCCACACUGGAACUGAGACACGGUCCAGACUCCUACGGGAGGCAGCAGUGGGGAAUAUUGCACAAUGGGCGCAAGCCUGAUGCAGCCAUGCCGCGUGUAUGAAGAAGGCCUUCGGGUUGUAAAGUACUUUCAGCGGGGAGGCGUUACCCGCAGAAGAAGCACCGGCUAGCUCCGUGCCAGCAGCCGCGGUAAUAC
rnacentral:rRNA from 1 species